rnacentral:rRNA from 2 species
UGUGACUGCGUACCUUUUGUAUAAUGGGUCAGCGACUUAUAUUCUGUAGCAAGGUUAACCGAAUAGGGGAGCCGGAGGGAAACCGAGUCUUAAUUGGGCGUUAAGUUGCAGGGUAUAGACCCGAAACCCGGUGAUCUAGCCAUGGGCAGGUUGAAGGUUGGGUAACACUAACUGGAGGACCGAACCGACUAAUGUUGAAAAAUUAGCGGAUGACCUGUGGCUGGGGGUGAAAGGCCAAUCAAACCGGGAGAUAGCUGGUUCUCCCCGAAAGCUAUUUAGGUAGCGCCUCGUGAAUUCAUCUCCGGGGGUAGAGCACUGUUUCGGCUAGGGGGCCAUCCCGGCUUACCAACCCGAUGCAAACUGCGAAUACCGGAGAAUGUUAUCACGGGAGACACACGGCGGGUGCUAACGUCCGUCGUGAAGAGGGAAACAACCCAGACCGCCAGCUAAGGUCCCAAAGUCAUGGUUAAGUGGGAAACGAUGUGGGAAGGCCCAGACAGCCAGGAUGUUGGCUUAGAAGCAGCCAUCAUUUAAAGAAAGCGUAAUAGCUCACUGGUCGAGUCGGCCUGCGCGGAAGAUGUAACGGGGCUAAACCAUGCACCGAAGCUGCGGCAGCGACACUGUGUGUUGUUGGGUAGGGGAGCGUUCUGUAAGCCUGUGAAGGUGUGUCGUGAGGCAUGCUGGAGGUAUCAGAAGUGCGAAUGCUGACAUAAGUAACGAUAAAGCGGGUGAAAAGCCCGCUCGCCGGAAGACCAAGGGUUCCUGUCCAACGUUAAUCGGGGCAGGGUGAGUCGACCCCUAAGGCGAGGCCGAAAGGCGUAGUCGAUGGGAAACGGGUUAAUAUUCCCGUACUUGGUGUUACUGCGAAGGGGGGACGGAGAAGGCUAUGUUGGCCGGGCGACGGUUGUCCCGGUUUAAGCGUGUAGGUGUGUGUUCCAGGUAAAUCCGGUUCACUUUAACACUGAGGCGUGACGACGAGGCACUACGGUGCUGAAGCAACAAAUGCCCUGCUUCCAGGAAAAGCCUCUAAGCAUCAGGUAACAUCAAAUCGUACCCCAAACCGACACAGGUGGUCAGGUAGAGAAUACCAAGGCGCUUGAGAGAACUCGGGUGAAGGAACUAGGCAAAAUGGUGCCGUAACUUCGGGAGAAGGCACGCUGACACGUAGGUGAAGUGAUUUACUCAUGGAGCUGAAGUCAGUCGAAGAUACCAGCUGGCUGCAACUGUUUAUUAAAAACACAGCACUGUGCAAACACGAAAGUGGACGUAUACGGUGUGACGCCUGCCCGGUGCCGGAAGGUUAAUUGAUGGGGUCAGCGCAAGCGAAGCUCCUGAUCGAAGCCCCGGUAAACGGCGGCCGUAACUAUAACGGUCCUAAGGUAGCGAAAUUCCUUGUCGGGUAAGUUCCGACCUGCACGAAUGGCGUAAUGAUGGCCAGGCUGUCUCCACCCGAGACUCAGUGAAAUUGAACUCGCUGUGAAGAUGCAGUGUACCCGCGGCAAGACGGAAAGACCCCGUGAACCUUUACUAUAGCUUGACACUGAACAUUGAGCCUUGAUGUGUAGGAUAGGUGGGAGGCUUUGAAGUGUGGACGCCAGUCUGCAUGGAGCCGACCUUGAAAUACCACCCUUUAAUGUUUGAUGUUCUAACGUGGACCCGUUACCCGGGUUGCGGACAGUGUCUGGUGGGUAGUUUGACUGGGGCGGUCUCCUCCUAAAGAGUAACGGAGGAGCACGAAGGUUGGCUAAUCCUGGUCGGACAUCAGGAGGUUAGUGCAAUGGCAUAAGCCAGCUUGACUGCGAGCGUGACGGCGCGAGCAGGUGCGAAAGCAGGUCAUAGUGAUCCGGUGGUUCUGAAUGGAAGGGCCAUCGCUCAACGGAUAAAAGGUACUCCGGGGAUAACAGGCUGAUACCGCCCAAGAGUUCAUAUCGACGGCGGUGUUUGGCACCUCGAUGUCGGCUCAUCACAUCCUGGGGCUGAAGUAGGUCCCAAGGGUAUGGCUGUUCGCCAUUUAAAGUGGUACGCGAGCUGGGUUUAGAACGUCGUGAGACAGUUCGGUCCCUAUCUGCCGUGGGCGCUGGAGAACUGAGGGGGGCUGCUCCUAGUACGAGAGGACCGGAGUGGACGCAUCACUGGUGUUCGGGUUGUCAUGCCAAUGGCACUGCCCGGUAGCUAAAUGCGGAAGAGAUAAGUGCUGAAAGCAUCUAAGCACGAAACUUGCCCCGAGAUGAGUUCUCCCUGAGACUUAGAGUCUCCUGAAGGAACGUUGAAGACGACGACGUUGAUAGGCCGGGUGUGUAAGCGCAGCGAUGCGUUGAGCUAACCGGUACUAAUGAACCGUGAGGCUUAACCUU